rnacentral:rRNA from 1 species
CAAUAGCGUAUAUUAAAGUUGUUGCGGUUAAAAGCUCGUAGUUGGAUUUCUGCCGAGGACGACCGGUCCGCCCUCUGGGUGAGCAUCUGGAUCGGCCUGGGCAUCCUCUUGGGGAACGUAGCUGCACUUGACUGUGUGGUGCGGUAUCCAGGACUUUUACUUUGAGGAAAUGAGAGUGUUUCAAGCAGGCUUGCGCCGUGAAUACGUUAGCAUGGAAUAAUAGCAUCGGACCUCGCUCCAAAGCUGUUGGUUUCUUGGGGCGAGGUAAAGGUGAAUAGGGAUUGUUGGGGGCAUUCGUAUUUAACUGUCAGAGGUGAAAUUCUUGGAUUUGUUGAAGACGGACUACUGCGAAAGCAUCUGCCAAAGAUGUUCUCAUUGAUCAAGAACGAAAGUUAGGUGAUCGAAGACGAUUAGAUACCAU